rnacentral:rRNA from 1 species
ACGAACCUUCGGGUUAGUGGCGGACGGGUGAGUAACGCGUGAGAAUCUGCCCUCAGGAGGGGGAUAACGGCUGGAAACGGCCGCUAAUACCCCAUAUGCCGAGAGGUGAAAUGAAUUUCGCCUGAGGAUGAGCUCGCGUCUGAUUAGCUAGUUGGUGUGGUAAAGGCUCACCAAGGCAUCGAUCAUUAUCUGGUCUGAGAGGAUGAUCACCCACACUGGGACUGAGACACGGCCCACACUCCUACGGGAGGGAGCAGUGGGGAAUUUUCCGCAAUGGGCGCAAGCCUGACGGAGCAACGCCCCGUGAGGGAUGAAAGCCUCUGGGCUGUAAACCUCUUUUUUCAGGGAAAAAAAUCUGACGGUUCUUGAUGAAAAAGCCACGGGUAAUUUCCGUGCCCGCCCCCCGCCGGUAAUACGGG